rnacentral:tRNA from 1 species
GCCUGGCUGGCUCAGUGAUCAGAGCAUGCGACUCUUAAUCUCAGAGUUGUGAAUUUGAGACCCAUGUUGGGUA